CGUAGGGGCGAGCGUUGUCCGGAAUCAUUGGGCGUAAAGAGCGUGUAGGCGGGCCUAAAGGUCUGGUGUGAAAGCCCGGGGCGUCAACCCCGGACGGGUCACUGGAAACCAUAGGUCUUGAGUCCGGAAGAGGAGAGUGGAAUUCCCUGGUGUAAGCGGUGGAAUGCGCAGAUAUCAGGAGGAACACCAAUGGCGAAAGGCAGCUCUCUGGUACGUGACUGACGCUGAGACGCGAAAGCGUGGGGAGCGAACAGGAUU
rnacentral:rRNA from 1 species